rnacentral:lncRNA from 1 species
UUUCACUUUGGGAUGAUAACACAGGUUUGGAAUGGAUACUGGUGAUAGUUGCACAACAAUGUAUUUCUACUUAAUGUACUUAAAUUUUCUCUUAUACAUAUUUCACCACAGAAAAAAAAUUAGCAAAUAUUUAAAAAUCUACAUGUUUCUUUGAACUGUUUCUUUACGUCCCUUGUCCAUUUUUCAAUUUGGCUGUUGGUCUUUUAAUAAUUUAGGAUAGCUAUAUAGCUAUAUAUAUACAUAUAUAUUACACAAAUUAGCUUUUUGUCUGUCAUGUAUGUUGCAGAUCUGUUUCCCCAGUCUGUUGACUUUUGACUUUGAUGCAUUUUUCUUGCCUAUAAAGUUUUAAUUUUUAUGGAGUCAAAUGCAUCAGUCUUCUAUUCAAAGACUUAUUUAUGGGUUUGGUGUUUCAGUUUAGGAUGAAAAAGAAGUUGUAGAUAUGGAUAAAGGAGAUGGUUGUACAACACAUUAUAUUGGACCACUCAACUGUACGUUUAAACAUGGUUAAAAUGGCAUGUAUCAAACCAAGAAAGCGGCUAGGAGGGCAACACAUCUACCUGUAUACAGGGAGCUAUGAAAUACGUGAGCUGCGCAAGUGAUGCACAAGGAAACGGAAGCAGUAUGACCUUUACACAGUGACCUGGCUCAAAUAAUUUCAGGCUGUCAUUAACCAGGCGAGCUCCACUUUCUCUCUGAGGUUGGGUGUUAAUCUGAUGUGGUGCUCUUGGAGAAGCUUGCUUGAGUUCGGCGCUUUCUCAGCACGUGGUGUGUGCUGCCCCUUCAAGCUGCAGGAGUCCCAGAAACUCUCCUGGCUUCUAUCCAAAGCUGUGUUCCAGGUGGGGAACACCUAUGGAUGCACCAGGGUGCAACUACUCAGAGUCCAGUGUGCAGAAGGGCCCCUGCUCUAUGCUGUUUCCGUAUCCAAGCCCAAGCUCUUCUAGAGCUUCAGCAAAUCCAAGCCUCCCUGAAUUCCCUGCAAGACCAAACUGAGCCCUACAACCCCCACCACUCUGGUUAGCUGCCAGUCCCAGCCCCUGUUCCCUCCUGGGCCCCUGUCUGUACAGUUCUGAAGUCCUACAAGAAUGUUGAGAUCCUAAGCCGACUCUCACCCAAAGAGGCUGGAAGAGGGGCUCCAGAAACUUGGGAAACCUGGGCCUGUAGCUGGCAUGUGGAAAAGAGGCCUGGAAAAGCACCAUUCCUGUCCAUGAAGCCCCCAGAUGGAACCAGGUCCUGUUCAGAAACCCCAUCUGUGCCUUUGGAGGGACUGCCCUGCGCACACAGGCCCAGCAACCACCAUCUACGGCCCCCAGGACCUAAUCCCCUUCUACUUGGGAUUCAGUGCAUGUUAGCAGACACUGGGCUUGAUUCCUGCCUAGUCCCUGCCAGAUAUCCCAUGCCCACCUCAUUAAGAGAAUGAGGCCACACAAACACACCCAGGCCAUCGUGAUGAUGGAGUGCCUGGGGUCCCACUUGCCCACCCUUCAUUGCUGGUUCAGAGCCAGCUCUGACCACAUUCCUACCCUGAGAUGGGACUCUGGGGACAUUGUCCACCAGGGUCACUGACCCCUUUUAACGUUCCAGAAACAUGGCCAGCUGGUCCCCUAGAAGUUU